UCCAAAGUAGCUCAGCGGUAGAGCAAUCGGCUGUUAACCGAUCGGUCGCAGGUUCGAUUCCUGCCUUUGGAG
rnacentral:tRNA from 15 species